UACGAAGGGGGCUAGCGUUGUUCGGAAUUACUGGGCGUAAAGCGCACGCAGGCGGAUUGAUAAGUCAGGGGUGAAAUCCCGGGGCUCAACCUCGGAAUUGCCUUUGAUACUGUCUGUCUUCGAGUUCGGGAGAGGUUGGCGGAAUUCCUAGUGUAGAGGUGAAAUUCGUAGAUAUUAGGAAGAACACCAGUGGCGAAGGCGGCCAACUGGCCCGAUACUGACGCUCAUGUGCGAAGGCGUGGGGAGCAAACAGG
rnacentral:rRNA from 1 species